rnacentral:rRNA from 1 species
GUGGGGAAUUUUGGACAAUGGGCGCAAGCCUGAUCCAGCCAUGCCGCGUGAGUGAUGAAGGCCUUAGGGUUGUAAAGCUCUUUCAGUGGGGACGAUAAUGACGGUACCCACAGAAGAAGCCCCGGCUAACUUCGUGCCAGCAGCCGCGGUAAUACGAAGGGGGCUAGCGUUGUUCGGAUUUACUGGGCGUAAAGCGCACGUAGGCGGAUCGUUAAGUCGGGGGUGAAAUCCUGGAGCUCAACUCCAGAACUGCCUUCGAUACUGGCGAUCUUGAGUCCGGAAGAGGUGAGUGGAACUCCUAGUGUAGAGGUGGAAUUCGUAGAUAUUAGGAAGAACACCAGUGGCGAAGGCGGCUCACUGGUCCGGUACUGACGCUGAGGUGCGAAAGCGUGGGGAGCAAACAGGAUUAGAAACCCCUGUAGUCC